rnacentral:rRNA from 1 species
CUCCUACGGGAGGCAGCAGUCGGGAAUAUUGCGCAAUGGAGGAAACUCUGACGCAGUGACGCCGCGUGCAGGAAGAAGGUUUUCGGAUUGUAAACUGCUUUAGACAGGGACGAAAUAAAUGACGGUACCUGUAGAAUAAGCUCCGGCUAACUACGUGCCAGCAGCCGCGGUAAUACGUAGGGAGCAAGCGUUAUCCGGAUUUAUUGGGUGUAAAGGGUGCGUAGACGGAAAGACAAGUUAGUUGUGAAAUACCUCGGCUUAACUGAGGAACUGCAACUAAAACUAUCUAUCUUGAGUACUGGAGGGGAAAGCGGAAUUCCUAGUGUAGCGGUGAAAUGCGUAGAUAUUAGGAAGAACACCGGUGGCGAAGGCGGCUUUCUGGACAGUAACUGACGUUGAGGCACGAAAGUGUGGGGAGCAAACAGGAUUAGAUACCCUGGUAGUCCACACCGUAAACGAUGGAUACUAGGUGUAGGUGAUGAUAAGUCAUCUGUGCCGUCGCAAACGCAGUAAGUAUCC